UGAUGUUGUGGUUUAUCAGUUAACAUAGGUUUAAUAAAAACCAAUGUUAUUAUUCUAAUGUUUUCUAAUACCUUAUUUUUCACAAUAUUUUGCCAUUCGUUCCCCUUCCCUCAAAAGCUUUCACUCUCGAAGCCUUUUGUGUUGAACUCCACCGCGUCUUUGUCAUUGUUAGUGUCGCCUGAGUUGUCAUCACUAUUGCCGUCAUUAGUGUUGCCUGAGAUGUCAUCACCAUCGCCGUCGUCAGUCCACUGCAGCCCUAUCCGUGAUGGCGAUUCAUUUUGCAGGCGAGUAAAUUCAUUUUUCCCCUUUUGUAGUUAUCUUGGAGCACCUUAAAUCUCUCAAAAUUGUAUGUAUUCUUUUUUCACAUUACAAAACUAAUCGUUUUUAUUUUUGUUUCUCUGCAAACACCAUCCAUAUUGAUCUCAUCCCCAACAGAGGGGACUUCAGGUAGAAGCUGAUGUCCCAGUAGAAAGUUUUGAAUUGUCACCUGUUGACCAGAUUUUUGUUCGAAUAAGACCAAAGUACAUUUUUAAUUAAGCUUUCAAAAACUGCAUCAAUGCUGUCAUCAGCUACUCAUAAUUCAUUGGUGGCUCUGGAUGAGCUUGGGAGAAGGACUACAACUUCUUAUGGGCAAGAAUAUCUUGUGCGGAAGGUGCAGUAUUGCGGAUUGUUUUGUACUCACUAUCAUCGAUUAGCUGUUGAUUAUCUCAAAGAUCCAAAGGUAUUACUAGUUUUUUAUCCAGUGUAAUCAUCAGUGGUAAAUUUUCAGUCUAAUGCUUGCAAGAAACAUUUUAAUCUUGGUUUUGUUAGUUUACUUGAUUGCCCAUAAUAUUGCUAGUCAUGACAUAUUUAGACAUGAUAUCCUAUAGAAAGUUUACAUUAUAGUGUAGUAAUUCGUUCCAUCUUCUGCUUGGUUUUAGUUUCAAAACUUAAAUUACAUUUCUAAAUUAGCUUUUUGUGCUUGUAAAGUUCUAUCUCUGCCACAUGGCAUGCCAAGUUGGUGGUGGAAUUGCAGGUUUAUAUGAAGUCACCUUUCUUUACAGGCUUACCCCUAGUGCUUGGCCCAAGAGCUAUAGUGUUAAUGUUGCUCAAAUGGUUGGUAUUUUUUUAUUGUUUUCAAAUAUGACAAACAUGGAUUAUGCUUCUCUAUAGUAAAGGUGGUAAAGCACCAAAUUAUAACUGCACUUAAAAUUUUAAUAACCUCAUAGUUAUAAAAUGUGUAUUGUAUUUGAUCCCAAUUUCAACCUUUAAUUUUCCAAUCAAGUAUGCUACUAAAUUUAGGAGACAAAUCUGACAUUGAUAGUUGGCAUAUUAACAUCCAUACAUCUACAAUUCAUUAAUUUUUUGUUCGUUGACUUUUAACUUUAGGACCUCAAACUUAAGGCUUGCUAUAAAUAAAGUCUUUCUCCAACCUUGCUAUAUUGAAGCUUAAACUUGAGGCUAACAAUCUCAAAGUAUAUUAUCAAAAUGAGUUGCAUGUCUAUACAUGACUUUUGGAUCACUCUGGAAAACUAUUUACGAGCGUUAUCUCAAUUAUACUAGUUGCUACAAAUGUGCUAAGCCUCAUUUUUCUAAUAUGUUGUAUAAUUAUUAACUAACUCAUAUUAUAAUAAAGAAACAAAUUAAUUUUAUUCACAACUUCCAACUUUUGUGCUUCAAAAGGCUACUGUCAAAUCCAGAGAAUUUGAGGCCACUUAUGAUAAAAGCAUAAAGGUGUCUUCUGUAAUAAACUAUCCCAAUGAAAAUUGGGUUGAUGAGAUAGAAGCAAUCAUUCAAAAAUUGAACAAUACCGCUACAAAUUUGAGUUGCUAGGAAACCAUUUGUGUUGGUUCCCUAAGUGAACUUCAAGAUAUGACAAGAGAAUUAAUGCAACAAUGUUAAAUUAUUUCAAGAUAGAUUAUUCUUAGGAAUCCACUUAAUAGUUUAGUCCUGUAGGGCAUUAUUUUGCCAGCUCAUCACAUGACAGAACUGCUAGAAUUUGGUCCAUGGACCAGAUACAACCCUUAAGAAUAAUGGUAAGGCACUUGUCUGAUGUUGAUGUAAACUGUUACAUUCAAUAUUCUCGGUCACUUCUAAUUUUAUCCAUAUUUUGUUCUUUUUUGGGGUCCAUAUUUGCCAGUAGCUCAUUUGAUUUUAUAAUUACAUAUUGAUUGCUUUAGAUUCAUAUACAAGUGAUCUAUGAUUAAGUAGAGUUUUAUGAUGUGUGUUUUGAAGGGGAAAAUGAUCUUUUCAUCUGUCUAUUAUGAAGUCCUAUAAUAGUAGAGUUAUUGAAUUAGAUAUUAAAAAUAUUUGUCACUGGAACAUAUAUUUUGCCACUUAAUCUUUAAGGUAAAAAAGGUGAUAUACUAAAAUACAUUGUGAAGUGAGUUUGUAAAUCAAAUUUUGUAUCUUAAAGUCUUAGAAACUAAUAAUUAUGUAUCAGGAAACACUCCUUGCCUAUUUUGUGAUCAUUUUUAGUGUGUGCAAUGGCAUGACAACUGCAAUUGGUUCUAGUGAUAAAACAGUUUGACUAUGGGAUGUGCAGAGUGGUGAGUGUGUCUAGGUUUUCGUUGGCCACAAGGGUAUGAUUUUGUCUUUGGCAAUGUCUCCUGGUGGUUUCUAUAUGGUAUCUAGCGAUGAAGAUGGCAUCAUCAUGAUGUGGGAUCUCUCUAGUAGCCGUUGUCUCACACCUUUGAUUGGGCACACAUCAUGUGUCUGGUCCCUCACUUUCAGUUAUGAAGUUUCUAUUAUAGCAUUUGGAUCUGCUGAUUGCACUGUAAAAUUGUGGGAUGUAAAUACGAGCACCAAGGUUUCUAGGGCUGAAGAAAAGUAAGUUUGUCUAUUAUGACAUAAUUGUUUUGAAUCAUUUGGCAUAGGAAAUCUUUCAUUCCUAACUAAACCACUUUCUUGGGAAAAUUUAUAAAUUGUUAUUUUUUAACUUUUAUAGGAAUAAUAUAUUUACCAUCAAUUAUCAUGGGAAAGUUUACUAACUUGACACUCAAUUACAAUGUGAAACUUUUAUUCUCACUUGUUCAUAAAUUAAUGUUUUCAAGGAUAUUUUAUUCUCAAAUAUUUUUUAGGAAAGUUAAAAUAUUACUUGAACUAAAUGCUAUCUAAAGAAUUUUGUUCCUAUGGUAAGACCACUGAUACUUUUUUUUACAUUAUCAUAUCUUACCAUUAGCCCUGGUAGGUUUUCCUGAUAACAGGUCAUAACAAUUAGUGGACCAACCACCAAUAUAAUAGUUGGCUGGUUGUCUUCACAAGUAGACAGGUCAUAGCACUUGAAGGUGUAGGUCCACUUCAUGCAGAUGUUAUCAUAGCAGGCAUUGCAAAAGCUUUUGGUGUUCGUUUGGUGCAUUACUUCCUUCAAUUGUUGUAUUUUUAAAUUUGAGGCUACUAUAAUCAUUCCCUCAAUAUGCUUUGUCCAUCCAUAUCUAUUAGAGUAGCUAGUCUUCUAAAAGUGUAGUUGAUUUUAAUUGUCCUAAGUUCAUUGUAUCUAAAAUAACAAAGUGGCAACAACUUGGGGCACAUGGGGUAUGCAAAAUGACUUUGAUUAGUGAUAAGCUACCAAUAUAUGAUGGGUGUAAGUGGCGGAUUCAGGAUCUGAAGUCAGUGGGGGCAAAUUAUUAUUUUUUAAAUAUGUUACGUUAUGUUGUUGUCAUUAUUACACCAGUUUUUGUUGAUUAUAAAUAUGAUAUCCUAUGACUUAGUAGAAA